CCUACGGGCGGCAGCAGUGAGGAAUAUUGGUCAAUGGUCGGGAGACUGAACCAGCCAAGCCGCGUGAGGGAUGAAGGUACAGAGUAUCGUAAACCUCUUUUGUCAGGGAACAAAGGCGGGGACGUGUCCCCGGAUGAGUGUACCUGAAGAAAAAGCAUCGGCUAACUCCGUGCCAGCAGCCGCGGUAAUACGGAGGAUGCGAGCGUUAUCCGGAUUUAUUGGGUUUAAAGGGUGCGCAGGCGGUCUGUUAAGUCAGCGGGCAAAGCCCGGGGCUCAACCCCGGCCCGCCGUUGAAACUGGCAGUCUCGAGUUGGAGAGAAGUAUGCGGAAUGCGCGGUGUAGCGGUGAAAUGCAUAGAUAUCGCGCAGAACUCCGAUGGCGAAGGCAGCAUGCCGGCUCCACACUGACGCUGAGGCACGAAAGCGUGGGUAUCGAACAGGAUUAGAUACCCGGGUAGUC
rnacentral:rRNA from 1 species